UCGAUCUCAGCUCCUCCGACGAACUGCGAACGGCGAACGCCGCCACAGCCAUCUUCAACGGCGAACGCCUCCACAGCCGUUGAACGCCCUUUCCUCCGCCACAGGUGCGGACGCGACGACCGUCACUGCCUCCGCCCGCCAUAACCACUGUCAGUCUGUCACUGUCUCUGGUCGCCACAGCCGCCGUCACCGUCUCCGCUCGCCACAGCCACCGUCCAUCUGCAAUAACCAGAUUCUAUAUACGCUAGGUGGACAAGAAAAUCUUCAGACAGCCAAGAAAUAUUAUGCAUUAACUGUAGACUUAACUGGUGGCAAAAUACUAGAGCCCUUUUUGAUAUAUGCUUGUGGGUGCUCUGGAACUUGGUGCUGCAAGAGUAAACAAAGAUAGAUUGUGCAAAUGUAAAAGAGCUUAAAAAACAGUCGAGGAAGCCAAUGGUUAUCAUCAAACUAACCAAUGGUUUGAU